rnacentral:rRNA from 1 species
GAAGAACCUUACCAAAUCUUGACAUCCUUUGACAACUCUAGAGAUAGAGCCUUCCCCUUCGGGGGACAAAGUGACAGGUGGUGCAUGGUUGUCGUCAGCUCGUGUCGUGAGAUGUUGGGUUAAGUCCCGCAACGAGCGCAACCCUUAAGCUUAGUUGCCAUCAUUAAGUUGGGCACUCUAAGUUGACUGCCGGUGACAAACCGGAGGAAGGUGGGGAUGACGUCAAAUCAUCAUGCCCCUUAUGAUUUGGGCUACACACGUGCUACAAUGGACAAUACAAAGGGCAGCGAAACCGCGAGGUCAAGCAAAUCCCAUAAAGUUGUUCUCAGUUCGGAUUGUAGUCUGCAACUCGACUACAUGAAGCUGGAAUCGCUAGUAAUCGUAGAUCAGCAUGCUACGGUGAAUACGUUCCCGGGUCUUGUACA